rnacentral:rRNA from 1 species
CCUACGGGGGGCUGCAGUGGGGAAUAUUGCACAAUGGGCGCAAGCCUGAUGCAGCCAUGCCGCGUGUGUGAAGAAGGCCUUCGGGUUGUAAAGCACUUUCAGCGGGGAGGAAGGCGGUGAGGUUAAUAACCUCAUCGAUUGACGUUACCCGCAGAAGAAGCACCGGCUAACUCCGUGCCAGCAGCCGCGGUAAUACGGAGGGUGCAAGCGUUAAUCGGAAUUACUGGGCGUAAAGCGCACGCAGGCGGUCUGUCAAGUCGGAUGUGAAAUCCCCGGGCUCAACCUGGGAACUGCAUUCGAACUGGCAGGCUAGAGUCUUGUAGAGGGGGGUAGAAUUCCAGGUGUAGCGGUGAAAUGCGUAGAGAUCUGGAGGAAUACCGAUGGCGAAGGCGGCCCCCUGGGCAAAGACUGACGCUCAGGUGCGAAAGCGUGGGGAGCAAACAGGAUUAGAUACCCGAGUAGUC